CCCAGACUCCUACGGGAGGCAGCAGUGGGGGAUAUUGCACAAUGGGGGAAACCCUGAUGCAGCGACGCCGCGUGUGGGAAGACGGUCUUCUGGAUUGUAAACCACUGUCCCCAGGGACGAAAAUGACGGUACCUGGGGAGGAAGCUCCGGCUAACUACGUGCCAGCAGCCGCGGUAAUACGGGGGAUGCGAGCGUUAUCCGGAUUUAUUGGGUUUAAAGGGUGCGUAGGCGGAAUAUCAAGUCAGCGGUAAAAAUUCGGGGCUCAACCCCGUCGUGCCGUUGAAACUGAUGUUCUUGAGUGGGCGAGAAGUAUGCGGAAUGCGUGGUGUAGCGGUGAAAUGCAUAGAUAUCACGCAGAACUCCGAUUGCGAAGGCAGCAUACCGGCGCCCAACUGACGCUCAGGCACGAAAGCGUGGGUAUCGAACAGGAUUAGAUACCCCGGUA
rnacentral:rRNA from 1 species